UACGAAAAGUACGAGCGUUAUUCAGAUUGACUUGGCGUAAAGGGUAUGUAGGCGGCGGUACAAAACUAAAUAGGAAAAGCUGGGGAUUAACCUAAGAAAGCUAUUUAAAGAUUAUACCGCUAGAGUCCGGAAUGGGUUUGGAGAAUUUCAGAGAAUAGGGGUCGAAUCCAAUAACCUCUGAAAGAAGACCUGAGGCGAAAGCACCUUUCUGGUCCGGACCGACGCUGAGGUACGGAAGCGUGGGUAGCAAAUCGG
rnacentral:rRNA from 1 species